GCCGGAAUAGCUCAGUCGGUAGAGCGCAUCACUCGUAAUGAUGAGGUCACCGGUUCGAUCCCGGUUUCCGGCUCCA
rnacentral:tRNA from 2 species